rnacentral:rRNA from 1 species
AGGUUAUAUAUUAAGGGUGUAUGGUGGAUGCCUUGACAUUAGAAGACGAAGAAGGACGUGGCGUAACUGCGAUAAGCCUCGGGGAGGUGUGUAGCGACCUUAGAUCCGGGGAUGUCCGAAUGGGGAAACCCAAUAUAGUGAUAAACUAUAUUAUCCCGACUUUAUUGUUGGGAGGUGAACUCGGCGAAGUAAAACAUUUCAGUAGCCGGAGGAACAGAGAAAAACUUUAUUCCCCAAGUAGUGGCGAGCGAAAAGGGAAGAGCCCAAACCUGAUGGUCCCGCAUUUGUGGGAUUAUUAGGGGUAGUAAGAUAGUGACGUCGGGAGAAAUCCCGGGGAGUGAAUACAAAACUAAGACUUCCUUAGUUGAAAGGGAUGGAAAGCCCUACCGAAGAAGGUAAUAGUCCUGUAAGCGAAAAGGGUCUUAUACUCCUAGUCAUUAAUCUUGAGUACCGCGAGAACAUGCAGUCUCGCGGGAAUCAUCCUGAACUAUCUAGGAAAGGCUAAAUACUUCUAAUGAUCGAUAGUGAACUAGUACCGUGAGGGAAAGGUGAAAAGUAGCCCGACAAGGGCAGUGAAAUAGUACCUGAAAUCAUACACUUACAAAGAGUCGGAGCCCCGCAUUAGCGGGGUGACGGCGUGCUUUUUGCAGAACGAACCAACGAGUUUACCGUAGACUGUUUUGUCUAAGUCCGUAAAGGACGGAGGCGUAGGGAAACCGAGUGUUAAUAGCGCGUUUUAUAACAGUAUGCGUAAGACCCGAAGCCAGGUGAGCUACCCAUGGCCAGGAUGAACCCCGAUGAAAAUCGGGGGGAGGUCCGAACCCAUCGGCCGUGCAAUACCGUGGGAUGAGCUGUGGGUUGGAGUGAAAAGCUAAUCGAACCUGGUAAUAGCUGGUUCUCCUCGAAAUAUGUUUAGGCAUAGCCUCUUAUUUUUCUCCUUAGGGGUAGAGCACUAAAUGGGCUGAGGUGGCGCAAGCCUACUCACUCAAUUAAACUCCGAAUACUAAGACAGAUAAUAAGGGAGUAAGACUGUGGGGGCUAAGCUCCAUAGUCAAAAGGGAAACAGCCCAGAUCGUCAUCUAAGGUCCCAAAACUAAGUUAAGUGGGAAAAGAAGUGCCUCGUCUUAUACAGAUGGGAUGUUGGCUUAGAAGUAGCCAUCAUUUAAAGAGUGUGUAAUAACUCACCAUUCUAUUUAUGACGAAGUGCGCUGAAAAUGUAACGGGGCUCAAACUUAGUACCGAAGAUACGAAUUUCUCUCCGAUUUAUCGGAGAGGAGUGGUAGAGGAGCAUUUCUUGUGCUGUGAAGUCAUUUCGUGAGGAAUGGUGGAGCGCAAGGAAGAGAGAAUGUUGGUAUGAGUAACCGCAAGUCUGAUGCGAAAUCAGACCACCGAAAGCCCAAGGAUUCCUUGGCAAUGUAAAUCAACCAAGGGUUAGGCGGGCCUAAGGCAAUCCCGAAAGGGGUAGUCGAUGGACAGUCGGUUAAUAUUCCGACCCUUCUGUAUUUUUUUAUGGAGUGACGGAGUUUAGUAGAUAGGGCAGAUUAUUGGAUUUUUGUCUGUAUAUUAAGAAGCUAGGCUAGGUAAAUCCGGUUUAGAAUACUUCAAGAUAUGCAGGAAGUUUCGAUUUCGAUCGGGAUUACCCUAUUGAGCAGACUUCCAAGAAAAACUUCUAAAAUAAGAAUACAGGAUCCGUACCGCAAACCGACACAGGUGGGCAGGGCGAGAAGCCCAAGGUGAACGGGUUAACCCUCGUUAAGGAACUCGGCAAAAUAGCGGCCGUAAGUUCGCAAUAAGGCCUUCCCCCGCUUAGCGGGGGACGCAGCUAAAGAUCUCUAGCGACUGUUUACCAAAAACACAGGUCCCUGCUAACUCGUAAGAGGAUGUAUAGGGGCUGACACUUGACCAGUGCUGGAAGGUUAAUGGUGGGGGUGUCUCGACCUUGCGUCGGGAUGCUCACUGCUUGAAGCCCCAGUGAACGUCGGCGAUAACUAUAAUCGUCCUAAGGUACCGAAAUUCCUUGGCAUGUAAGUUAUGUCCUGCAGGAAAAGUGUAACGACUGGAGAACUGUCUCAACGAGGAGCCCGGUGAAAAUGCAGUGUCAGUGAAGAUGCUGACUACCUGCGACAAGACGAAAAGACCCCAGGAGCUUUACUAUAACUUGGUAUUGUUUUAAUGUUUUUGAUGCGUAGCGUAGACGGUAGGAUUUGAAGGUCGCCUCUCGGGGCGGCUGGAUCCGACAAUGAAACACCGUUCUUUAAAAAUGUUAAAACUAACCCCUCCGUAACAGAGAGGGACAGUGCCAGGCGGGUAGUUUUAGUGGGGCGCUAGCCUCCUAAAGAGUAACGGAGGCGUUUAUUAAGGUCGACUAGCUCCGGAUGGAAAUCGGAGUGAUAGUGUAAAGGCAAAAGUCGGCUUUACUGCAAGACUGACAGGUCGCGCAGUUGCGAAAGCAGAACUUAGUGAACCGACUCUGGUUAAUAGAAUCGGAGAAGAUCAUCGGACAAAAGCUACCCUGGGGAUAACAGGCUGGUAGGCGCUAAGAGUUCAUAUCGACGCGUCUGUUCGGCACCUCGAUGUCGGCUCAUCUCAUCCUGGAGGUGGAGAAGCUUCCAAGGGUUUGGCUGUUCGCCAAUUAAAGAGGUACGUGAGCUGGGUUCAAACCGUCGUGAGACAGGUUGGACUCCUAUCUGUCGUAGGCGUAGAUACUUGAGAGACUUUGUCCCUAGUAAGAAUAUUGCUACUUCACGAAGUAAUUCGUGAUGACAAUGUGGCUUAUAACGGUGAAGUCUUAAUAAAAUAUGGUCUAUUGAUAAUCAUUAUUGCAUCGGUCCAAUAAUAAUGAUACAAUUUAAUUGAGGACCAGAUAAUUAUUAAGAUAAUACCGUGGGAAGUCGAUCUAAAAUUAAUUAUGCGUAUAUUGCAGGAUUUCUUGAUGGUGAUGGAAGUUUAAUGUUUCAAAUCAAAAAACGGAAAGAUGGCAAAUCUAAAAUAAGAUUUAUGCUGACUAUCUGUUUUUAUCAAGAUUCUAGACAUGCAAAACCACUAUACUGGAUUAAAAGAGUUUUGAGGAUAGGUUAUAUCUCAAAACGUAAAGACGGAAUUACUGAAUUAAGGAUUAACGGUUUUAAGCAGAUUAAGGAUAUAGUGGGGAAUUUAAUUCCAUUUAUCAAAUUUAAGAAAGUCCAAGCAAAAGCAAUAUAUAGCGCUGCGAAUCUUUUGAAUUGUGUAAAAAACAAGGAUUUAUCUGAGAAAGAUUUACACAGGUUAAUAAAUUAUAUUCUGGUGAUUCAGAAUAAUAAUUAUGUGACCAAAAAAAAGAAGACUAAAAAAGAUUUGUUAAAGAUUUUAGAUUUGACCCCGUAACGACUUGAUCCGAUUUCCAUCGGAUCGGAGUUCAGUAGAAAUACUGAGCUAAUACGCCACUACCCUAAUUCCGAUUAACGUCGGAAUGGGUAAAGAUAUAGUCUGCGCACAUAGUGAUAUGUGAUAACGUGACGAGAGGACCGGGAUGAACAAACCUCUGGUGUACCAGCUGUCCUGCCAAGGGCACUGCUGGGUAGCUAUGUUUGGCAGAGAUAAAUGCUGAAAGCAUAUAAGCGUGAAACUCUUCUCAAGAUUAAGUAUCAUAGAUUCCUUGAAGACUACAAGGUUGAUAGGCUUCAGGUGUAAGUCCUGUAAAGGAUUUAGCCGAGAAGUACUAAUAAAUCAUUUUGCCUGU